AUUGAACGCUGGCGGCAGGCUUAACACAUGCAAGUCGAACGAGUGGCGGACGGGUGAGUAAUGCUUGGGAAUCUAGCUUAUGGAGGGGGAUAACUACGGGAAACUGUAGCUAAUACCGCGUACCAUAGGCUGAGCCCAAGUGGGAUUAGGGAGUGGGGGAGGUAAAGGCUCACCAAGGCGACGAUCUCUAGCUGGUCGGAGAGGAUGAACAGCCACACGGGGACUGAGACACGGCCCAGACGCCUACGGUAGGCAGCAGUGUGGAAUAUUGCGCAAUGGGGGCAAGCCUUAUGCAGCCAUGCCGCGUGUAUGAAGAAGGCCUUCGGGUUGUAAAGUAUGUUCAGUCGGGAGGCGUUACCGACAGAAGAAGCACCGGCUAACUCCGUGCCAGCAGCCGCGGUAAUAC
rnacentral:rRNA from 1 species